GACGUAGGGUGCGAGCGUUGUCCGGAUUUAUUGGGCGUAAAGAGCUCGUAGGCGGCUCGUCGCGUCGGCUGUGAAAACCCGCGGCUUAACUGUGGGCUUGCAGCUGAUACGGGCGGGCUAGAGUUCGGUGGGGGAGACUGGAAUUCCUGGUGUAGCGGUGAAAUGCGCAGAUAUCAGGAGGAACACCGGUGGCGAAGGCGGGUCUCUGGGCCGAUACUGACGCUGAGGAGCGAAAGCGUGGGGAGCGAACAGG
rnacentral:rRNA from 1 species